GGGCCGGUAGCUCAGCUAGGUAGAGCGGCGGGCUCUUAACCCGUAGGUCCCGGGUUCGAAUCCCGGCCGGCCCGCCA
rnacentral:tRNA from 2 species